rnacentral:rRNA from 1 species
CCUACGGGAGGCAGCAGUAGGGAAUCUUUCACAAUGGGCGAAAGCCUGAUGGAGCAACGCCGCGUGCAGGAUGAAGGCCUUCGGGUUGUAAACUGCUUUUAUAAGCGAGAAAUAUGAUGGUAACUUAUGAAUAAGGAUCGGCUAACUACGUGCCAGCAGCCGCGGUUAUACGUAGGAUCCGAGCAUUAUCCGGAGUGACUGGGUGUAAAGAGUUGCGUAGGUGGCAUAAUAAGUAGCUAGUGAAAUCUGGUGGCUCAACCAUUCAGACUAUUAGCUAAACUGUUAAGCUCGAGACCGUUAGGGGUAACUGGAAUUUCUAGUGUAGGAGUGAAAUGCGUAGAUAUUAGACAGAACACCGAUAGCGUAGGCAGGUUGCUGGGACGGUUCUGACACUAAGGCACGAAAGCGUAGGGAGCAAACGGGAUUAGAUACCCUUGUAGUC